AUUGAACGCUGGCGGCAUGCCUUACACAUGCAAGUCGAACGGCAGCGCGGGAGCAAUCCUGGCGGCGAGUGGCGAACGGGUGAGUAAUGCAUCGGAACGUGCCCGGUAGUGGGGGAUAACUGCUCGAAAGAGCAGCUAAUACCGCAUACGACCUGAGGGUGAAAGGGGGGGAUCGCAAGACCUCUCGCUAUCGGAGCGGCCGAUGUCGGAUUAGCUAGUUGGUGGGGUAAAGGCCCACCAAGGCGACGAUCCGUAGCUGGUCUGAGAGGACGACCAGCCACACUGGGACUGAGACACGGCCCAGACUCCUACGGGAGGCAGCAGUGGGGAAUUUUGGACAAUGGACGCAAGUCUGAUCCAGCCAUGCCGCGUGCGGGAAGAAGGCCUUCGGGUUGUAAACCGCUUUUGUCAGGGAAGAAAUCUUCUGGGUUAAUACCUCGGGAGGAUGACGGUACCUGAAGAAUAAGCACCGGCUAACUACGUGCCAGCAGCCGCAGUAACAC
rnacentral:rRNA from 1 species